CAUUAUCGUACAACCGAGGUGCAAGGGCUGUCGCUGACCUCCAAAGGUUGUGCACGCCCGAGCGCUCUCACACAAUCCAUCUCACACCCCUUUGUGCAUCACCGCGAGGGUCCCAGUGGCUGUAACGGCCCCAAGGUGGGAAUGCGAGGCGAUGUUUUCCCCAACGGAGUCCCGUGCUCGUGCGCCGAGUUCAAGACUGUCCCCUCCAGAAAACUUUGGUGUCCAUCGUCCCUCACAGCGUAGGCUGUGGUCGGAUUUGGAGUAAUCGGCCCUUGUCUAGCCAGGGAAGCAAUUCCGCAGCUAGCAGGACUCACCGAGUUGGUCUUAGGAGAUCAGGGCACGUCAUCUGUCGCGCGGGUGCGCCGUGUCCCUCGUAGACCUUUAUACCUCGCGUUUUCACACAAACCUCUGAUACAGUGUAGAAUGUUAUUUUACCUUUUGCGGUCACACGCAAUCAAUACAACUUUCAACAACGGAUCUCUUGGCUCUCGCAUCGAUGAAGAACGCAGCGAAAUGCGAUACGUAAUGUGAAUUGCAGAAUUCAGUGAAUCAUCGAAUCUUUGAACGCACCUUGCGCCCCUUGGCAUUCCGAGGGGCACACCCGUUUGAGUGUCGUGAAAUCAUCAAAACCUUUUUCUCUUUGAUCCCAAAUUUAUUUUGGUCGGGAAAAGGAUUUUGGACUUGGAGGUUCCAUGCUCGCUUUCUUUUGAAAGCCGAUUUGAGGUCAGGUUUUCUUCUUGUGGGUCCAGCCUCCCCCCGCCAACGUAGACGGCGGUUGACCGGAGCACCAUCAUUGUCCAUGGGACGGUUAGAAGCAGGCAUCCAAGGGACAGUGCCAAAUCCAAAACGUAGAAGCAUCUUAUCACGUCAAGGAUCGGCAAAGCGGACCCCACUGAUUCAUUUGAGAGGAGCUCGC
rnacentral:misc_RNA from 1 species